AGGCCUACGGGGGGCAGCAGUGGGGGAUAUUGCACAAUGGGGGGAACCCUGAUGCAGCGACGCCGCGUGAACGAAGAAAUAUUUCGGUAUGCAAAGUUCUAUCAGCAAGGAAGAAAAUGACAGUACCUGACCAAGAAGCCCCGGCUAACUACGUGCCAGCAGCCGCGGUAAUACGUAGGGGGCGAGCGUUAUCCGGAUUCACUGGGCGUAAAGGGAGCGCAGGCGGUCUGGCAAGUCUGAUGUGAAAGGCCGGGGCGCAACCCCGGGACUGCAUUGGAAAC
rnacentral:rRNA from 1 species